AGAGUUUGAUCCUGGCUCAGGAUGAACGCUGGCGGCGUGCCUAAUACAUGCAAGUAGAACGCUGAAGCUUGGUGCUUGCACCGAGCGGAUGAGUUGCGAACGGGUGAGUAACGCGUAGGUAACCUGCCUCUUAGCGGGGGAUAACUACUGGAAACGAUAGCUAAUACCGCAUAACAGUAGAUAUCGCAUGAUAGCUGCUUGAAAGGUGCAAAUGCACCACUACCAGAUGGACCUGCGUUGUAUUAGCUAGUUGGUGAGGUAACGGCUCACCAAGGCAACGAUACAUAGCCGACCUGAGAGGGUGAUCGGCCACACUGGGACUGAGACACGGCCCAGACUCCUACGGGAGGCAGCAGUAGGGAAUCUUCGGCAAUGGGGGCAACCCUGACCGAGCAACGCCGCGUGAGUGAAGAAGGUUUUCGGAUCGUAAAGCUCUGUUGUAAGUCAAGAACGAGUGUGAGAGUGGAAAGUUCACACUGUGACGGUAGCUUACCAGAAAGGGACGGCUAACUACGUGCCAGCAGCCGCGGUAAUACGUAGGUCCCGAGCGUUGUCCGGAUUUAUUGGGCGUAAAGCGAGCGCAGGCGGUUUGAUAAGUCUGAAGUUAAAGGCUGUGGCUCAACCAUAGUUCGCUUUGGAAACUGUCAAACUUGAGUGCAGAAGGGGAGAGUGGAAUUCCAUGUGUAGCGGUGAAAUGCGUAGAUAUAUGGAGGAACACCGGUGGCGAAAGCGGCUCUCUGGUCUGUAACUGACGCUGAGGCUCGAAAGCGUGGGGAGCGAACAGGAUUAGAUACCCUGGUAGUCCACGCCGUAAAC
rnacentral:rRNA from 1 species